rnacentral:rRNA from 1 species
GAGUGGCGGACGGGUGAGUAAUGUCUGGGAAGCUGCCUGAUGGAGGGGGAUAACUACUGGAAACGGUAGCUAAUACCGCAUAAUGUCGCAAGACCAAAGAGGGGGACCUUCGGGCCUCUUGCCAUCGGAUGUGCCAAGAUGGGAUUAGCUUGUUGGUGGGGUAACGGCUCACCAAGGCGACGAUCCCUAGCUGGUCUGAGAGGAUGACCAGCCACACUGGAACUGAGACACGGUCCAGACUCCUACGGGAGGCAGCAGUGGGGAAUAUUGCACAAUGGGCGCAAGCCUGAUGCAGCCAUGCCGCGUGUAUGAAGAAGGCCUUCGGGUUGUAAAGUACUUUCAGCGGGGAGGAAGGGAGUAAAGUUAAUACCUUUGCUCAUUGACGUUACCCGCAGAAGAAGCACCGGCUAACUCCGUGCCAGCAGCCGCGGUAAUACGGAGGGUGCAAGCGUUAAUCGGAAUUACUGGGCGUAAAGCGCACGCAGGCGGUUUGUUAAGUCAGAUGUGAAAUCCCCGGGCUCAACCUGGGAACUGCAUCUGAUACUGGCAAGCUUGAGUCUCGUAGAGGGGGGUAGAAUUCCAGGUGUAGCGGUGAAAUGCGUAGAGAUCUGGAGGAAUACCGGUGGCGAAGGCGGCCCCCUGGACGAAGACUGACGCUCAGGUGCGAAAGCGUGGGGAGCAAACAGGAUUAGAUACCCUGGUAGUCCACGCCGUAAACGAUGUCGACUUGGAGGUUGUGCCCUUGAGGCGUGGCUUCCGGAGCUAACGCGUUAAGUCGACCGCCUGGGGAGUACGGCCGCAAGGUUAAAACUCAAAUGAAUUGACGGGGGCCCGCACAAGCGGUGGAGCAUGUGGUUUAAUUCGAUGCAACGCGAAGAACCUUACCUGGUCUUGACAUCCACGGAAGUUUUCAGAGAUGAGAAUGUGCCUUCGGGAACCGUGAGACAGGUGCUGCAUGGCUGUCGUCAGCUCGUGUUGUGAAAUGUUGGGUUAAGUCCCGCAACGAGCGCAACCCUUAUCCUUUGUUGCCAGCGGUCCGGCCGGGAACUCAAAGGAGACUGCCAGUGAUAAACUGGAGGAAGGUGGGGAUGACGUCAAGUCAUCAUGGCCCUUACGACCAGGGCUACACACGUGCUACAAUGGCGCAUACAAAGAGAAGCGACCUCGCGAGAGCAAGCGGACCUCAUAAAGUGCGUCGUAGUCCGGAUUGGAGUCUGCAACUCGACUCCAUGAAGUCGGAAUCGCUAGUAAUCGUGGAUCAGAAUGCCACGGUGAAUACGUUCCCGGGCCUUGUACACACCGCCCGUCACACCAUGGGAGUGGGUUGCAAAAGAAGUAGGUAGCUUAACCUUCGGGAGGGCGCUUACCACUUUGUGAUUCAUGACUGGGGUGAAGUCGAAACAAGGUA